UGAAAUCAGGCGGGAUUACCC
rnacentral:rRNA from 1 species